UACAGAGGGUGCGAGCGUUAAUCGGAGUUACUGGGCGUAAAGGGCGCGUAGGCGGUUUAGCGAGUGUGAUGUGAAAGCCCCGGGCUUAACCUGGGAAGUGCAUCGCAAACGGGCUAGACUAGAGUAGAUGAGAGGGUGAUGGAAUUCCGGUGUAGCGGUGAAAUGCGUAGAGAUCGGAAGGAACGUCGAUGGCGAAGGCAGUCGACCUGGCAUCAUACUGACGCUGAGGCGCGAAAGCGUGGGGAGCAAACAGG
rnacentral:rRNA from 1 species